CCUACGGGAGGCAGCAGUGGGGAAUAUUGGGCAAUGGGCGCAAGCCUGACCCAGCAACGCCGCGUGAAGGAAGAAGGCUUUCGAGUUGUAAACUUCUUUUCUCAGGGACGAAGAAAGUGACGGUACCUGAGGAAUAAGCCACGGCUAACUACGUGCCAGCAGCCGCGGUAAUACGGAGGAUGCGAGAGUUAUCCGGAUUCAUUGGGUUUAAAGGGUGCGCAGGCGGGCCUUUAAGCCGGCGGUGAAAUCGCGGGGCUCAACCCCGCCGAGCCGUCGGAACUGGGGGCCUUGAGUGCGGCGGAGGCAUGCGGAAUGCGCGGUGUAGCGGUGAAAUGCAUAGAUAUCGCGCAGAACCCCGAUUGCGAAGGCAGCGUGCCGUGCCGCCACUGACGCUGAGGCACGAAAGCGCGGGGAUCGAACAGGAUUAGAUACCCGAGUAGUC
rnacentral:rRNA from 1 species